GAAAAUGGCGGCGGGCCUAUACAUGCAAGUCGAGCGGACCGACGGGAGCUUGCUCCCUUAGGUCAGCGGCGGACGGGUGAGUAACACGUGGGUAACCUGCCUGUAAGACUGGGAUAACUCCGGGAAACCGGGGCUAAUACCGGAUGCUUGAUUGAACCGCAUGGUUCAAUCAUAAAAGGUGGCUUUUAGCUACCACUUACAGAUGGACCCGCGGCGCAUUAGCUAGUUGGUGAGGUAACGGCUCACCAAGGCGACGAUGCGUAGCCGACCUGAGAGRGUGAUCGGCMACACUGGGACUGAGAACACGGCCCARACUCCUACGGGAGGCAGCAGUARGGAAUCUUCCGCAAUGRACGRAAGUCUGACGGARCAACGCSCYGUGAGUGAUGAAGGUUUUCGGAUCGUAAAACUCUGUUGUUAGGGAAGAACAAGUACCGUUCGAAUAGGGCGGUACCUUGACGGUACCUAACCCAGAAAGCCACGGCUAACUACGUGCCAGCAGCCGCGGUAAUACGUARGUGGCAAGCGUUGUCSGGAAUUAUUGGGCGUAAAGCGCGCGCAGGCGGUUUCUUAAGUCUGAUGUGAAAGCCCCCGGCUCAACCGGGGAGGGUCAUUGGAAACUGGGGAACUUGAGUGCAGAAGARGAGAGUGGAAUUCCACGUGUAGCGGUGAAAUGCGUAGAGAUGUGGAGGAACACCAGUGGCGAAGGCGACUCUCUGGUCUGUAACUGACGCUGARGCGCGAAAGCGUGGGGAGCGAACAGGAUUAGAUACCCUGGUAGUCCACGCCGUAAACGAUGAGUGCUAAGUGUUAGAGGGUUUCCGCCCUUUAGUGCUGCAGCAAACGCAUUAAGCACUCCGCCUGGGGAGUACGGUCGCAAGACUGAAACUCAAAGGAAUUGACGGGGGCCCGCACAAGCCGGUGGAGCAUGUGGUUUAAUUCGAAGCAACGCGAAGAACCUUACCAGGUCUUGACAUCCUCUGACAACCCUAGAGAUAGGGCUUCCCCUUCGGGGGCAGAGUGACAGGUGGUGCAUGGUUGUCGUCAGCUCGUGUCGUGAGAUGUUGGGUUAAGUCCCGCAACGAGCGCAACCCUUGAUCUUAGUUGCCAGCAUUCAGUUGGGCACUCUAAGGUGACUGCCGGUGACAAACCGGAGGAAGGUGGGGAUGACGUCAAAUCAUCAUGCCCCUUAUGACCUGGGCUACACACGUGCUAACAAUGGGCAGAACAAAGGGCAGCGAAGCCGCGAGGCUAAGCCAAUCCCACAAAUCUGUUCUCAGUUCGGAUCGCAGUCUGCAACUCGACUGCGUGAAGCUGGAAUCGCUAGUAAUCGCGGAUCAGCAUGCCGCGGUGAAUACGUUCCCGGGCCUUGUACACACCGCCCGUCACACCACGAGAGUUUGUAACACCCGAAGUCGGUGAGGUAACCUUUUGGAGCCAGCCGCCGAAGGUGGGACAGAUGAUUGGGGUGAAGUCGUAACAAGGAUGCCACUUAGGG
rnacentral:rRNA from 2 species